UACGUAGGCAGCGAGCGUUGUUCGGAGUUACUGGGCGUAAAGGGUGUGUAGGCGGUUGUUUAAGUUUGGUGUGAAAUCUCCCGGCUCAACUGGGGAGGGUGCGCCGAAUACUGAAUGACUAGAGUGCGGGAGAGGAAAGUGGAAUUCCUGGUGUAGCGGUGAAAUGCGUAGAUAUCAGGAGGAACACCGGUGGUGUAGACGGCUUUCUGGGACCGUAACUGACGCUGAGACACGAAAGCGUGGGUAGCAAACAGG
rnacentral:rRNA from 1 species